CCUGGCUCUGUGAGAUUAGCAUCUAACAUUAGCUACUCUGCUGUGCUGUAAAGUAAUGUCGGCUAUGUGAGAGAAGCUUCUAGCAACAUUGUUGUGGA